rnacentral:lncRNA from 1 species
CGGGUUUUGUUGGUUGGUUGGUAGGUAGGUGGGUGAGUGGUUUUCAAACUCAUAAACACUAGUUUCUUCAUUACCUUGUUCUGGAAAUUUGGUGCCGGCUGAGAAAACGAGUGUUCUCGUCUUGUGUUAGCUACUGUCACAUUGGGUUUUAUAUGGGAAGAACAAUAUCGUAUGUGAUGGGGGGUCUGAGAUGAGAUAGUUUGGUUCUGGUUAAAGCAGGGAAGAGUGCUAAGCCAAUGAAUAACGACCCUUUAUUUGUUUCUACACAGUGGAUGUUUGUAGUGCAAGUGCACACCUACCCUCUCUGAAUUACUAGUGUCUAUGGUGUCCUUUACUUUACCCCUCCCUAGAGAUUGGCUAAGGACGGCUUCCUUUUUCUCUCUCCAACAAUAUCACACAUCAACAACGAAAGAUGAGAGAAAGUAAGCAAGGAAUAGCCAACACGCUAUCAACACUUUUCUUCUCUCCUCCCUCUACUUGUAUCCCUCAUCACUUCUUUUAACCUACUCUUAAAAUAUAACAUAAAUAUUUUCUUAGAAAAAAUAAUAAAUAUUUACUAUAUAAUUCAAAUACAACCAUAAAUAUAUCAACGGGUGCAAUAACAUUGUUUGAACUUUGAAAACACAUUAUUAAAAAAAUCAUUAUCAACUCUAACAUAUUCAAUUCCAUCCAUGCGAUUAAUUUCAACCACUACAUUUGAAUUUAGCUUUGAUUCAGUUCUCCACAUCAACAAUGGUUGAAACUAAGUCUAAGAUAUCCCAUUUGUAGGGUGAUAUAUUAGUUAAACAAAAUUCAUGAAGAAUCCUCUGGAGCAGGGUCUUGUGCCCAGUUUCGAACCAUGGCC